UGUAAGCUGAAAGUUUCCAUUAGGACCUCGGUAGCUCGAAUAUGAUGCAGUUGUGGAAGAGACAGUUUCAGGUUGGUUUUGGUGGGUACUUGGUUUUCAUUUGGUUCAGGUACGAUUUGGUUUGAAUAGACAGUAAUUUUCUGAUGUGAGUUUUCUUUGGGUUCUAAUUACUGAACUAAGUUAGGAAUUAUUAGAGGGUCUGUUAGUUAAAAAAAUAAGGCUGAAUUGUUAGUUGGAAAAUGAUGAAAUUCUGGUUUUUCUUCUCUUCUGAACUGUCAGCCACGAGCUUUUGCUUUUCAUAUUGUCCUGUUUCCGAACUGAAAGUUUCUCACUUGUUUAUUUGCGUAUAGUGCUUGAUGUAUGUAUGGUAUGAUUGGAUAUUUGACAAUGGACAUUUAUAUCUAAGCUUGGUGUUGAAUAAAUUAGGGGCUAAAGAGGUUUGAACAGGUAUGAAUAUGUUAGAUUAUUCUGUAUGUGUUUUGAAUGUGAUUUGAAAUAAUGUUGAGUUGUAUGGUGAAUCAUGGCUGGAUGAUAAUGGAACUGUUUUUUUCUGUUUUCGGAUCUGACCUGUUGCAUAUACACACAUUAUGUAGUUGCGAUUGAAGAUUGAACGGUUGGUUUUCUGGUGACUGUUGUGUACAGGUACGAAACAAGUGCAAUGUGGAUGAAUUUGUUGGACAGUUUCUGAAAAAAAAGUUAGUCAGAUAUGCAUCAUAAUAUUUUAUAUUUUAAUAUGCUUAGAGGAAUCAUAAAAAACUUAGUUGUUGGUCUUAUAGGUCUGCUAUUGUUAAGCAGUUGAUUAGUUAGUUAAUUAGUUAAUGGAUAGUUAGUAGUUACUUCAAGAGAUAGUGUUGGUCCAUAUAAGACAGGCUUCCUAUAAAUAGAGAGGAGGAUUAGAGAGGGAAUUAUUUCAUCUUAUCAUUUGAGAGCAAUAGAUCAUUUUGCCAUAGAGAGGGAAUAUUUCUGAUAUUGAUGCUUUUUGUGAUUACAGGUUUAGGAUACCGAGGUUUCUAAUUCUGGCUUGAUGACUUCUCAAAGGUGCAUCAAUUCCAAAUAAUCACAAAAAUUACUCAUGCACUGGUGGUUGGAAGUGGCGCGACACCCCUAACAGAAAUCCUAACAACAUCACAGGAGCAAUGGUUGGAAGUGUCAAGUAUAGAUUUUUUCGAAACUAUAAUUUGAGUUUGAAUCUGAACUUGAAUUUCAACUUCUGUCCGGAUUGAAGGUAAUUAGAAUCAGUUAAAAUGAUGGACUCGGGGUGCAGGACAGAAGUUGAAAUUGCUGCUCUCAGGCAUGAACUUACACAAGAAGUUUUUGCUUGGAAUAAACUAACCAUCCUAAUGUCACAAAAGGCUACAACUCCAGAGUAUAGAGCAUAUCAAGAGCAGGUUCUCAGCAAUAGCUCAAAAUUUGCACAGGCACAUUAGAAAGGAUAACUCAGCAGUCUCUUCUCAUAGAUAUUGGAGUCAAUCAACACAAGAGCCAGUCUCCUUGUUGGACCAAAGAGAUUAAUCCGUUGUGUAUUAAUUAACACUGAAUAUAUUGCAGGCUUUGAGUGAGAAAGGCUAUGAACUUGUUUCCGGUGGGACUGGAAAUCAUCUAGUUUUGGUGAAUUUGAAGAAAAAGGAACUCUUGCUCUUACUUCAAGGGGAUUUGUUGAGGAGGAUUUCGUUAAGGUAGCAGAGUAUUUUGAUGCAGCUGUGAAUUUGGCUUUGAAGGUUAAGGCAGAGAGCAAAGAUAUCUUUGGGCAACUUUGGGCUAAAAUAUUUUUGCAACUGGUUAAAAAUAAAAAGGUUGAGGAGCAAAAUCUACGAGAUCAAAUGCAAAUGGUUGAAGAGGAUAAAGACAUAGAAAUGUUGCCAAAACCAAAGCCAAAGAAGAAGAAAAAAACUUAUAUAUGAAGAAAGUGUUAUGACUUAGUUAAAAUAUGAUAUUUAUGUGUAUGAUUUUAUAGUACUUGAAAUAUUAUGACUGUACAUGAUUUUGUAUA